CAGCCGCCGCGGUAACACCGGCGGCCCGAGUGGCGGUCACUAUUAUUGGGCUUAAAGCGUCCGUAGCCGGGUUGGGAAGUCCUCCGGGAAAUCUGGCCGCUUAACGGUCAGAAUGCCGGAGGAUACUCCCAGCCUAGGGAGCGGGAGAGGCCGAGGGGAUUCCCGGGGUAGGGGGGAAAUCCUAUAAUCCCGGGAGGACCACCUGUGGCGAAGGCGCUCGGCUGGAACGCGUCCGACGGUGAGGGACGAAGGCCAGGGGAGCAAACCGGAUUAGAUACCCGGGUAGUCCUGGCUGUAAACGAUGCGGACUUUGUGUCGGACAAGCUAUGAGCUUGUCCGGUGCCGGAGGGAAACCGUUAAGUCCGCCGCCUGGGGAGUACGGCCGCAAGGCUGAAACUUAAAGGAAUUGGCGGG
rnacentral:rRNA from 1 species